rnacentral:rRNA from 1 species
GGAAUAUUGCACAAUGGAGGAAACUCUGAUGCAGUGACGCCGCGUGCAGGAAGAAGGUCUUAGGAUUGUAAAUUGCUUUGGACAGGGAAGAAAAACGACAGUACCUUUAGAAUAAGCUCCGGCUAACUACGUGCCAGCAGCCGCGGUAAUACGUAGGGAGCGAGCGUUAUCCGGAAUUAUUGGGUGUAAAGGGUGCGUAGACGGGUAAAUAAGUUAGUUGUGAAAUCCCUCGGCUCAACUGAGGAACUGCAACUAAAACUGUAUAUCUUGAGUGCGGGAGAGGAAAGUGGAAUUCCUAGUGUAGCGGUGAAAUGCGUAGAUAUUAGGAGGAACACCAGUGGCGAAGGCGACUUUCUGGACCGUAACUGACGUUGAGGCACGAAAGUGUGGGGAGCA